AGAGUUUGAUCCUGGCUCAGGACGAACGCUGGCGGCGUGCUUAACACAUGCAAGUCGAACGAUGAUGCCCAGCUUGCUGGGUGGAUUAGUGGCGAACGGGUGAGUAACACGUGAGUAACCUGCCCCUGACUCUGGGAUAAGCGUUGGAAACGACGUCUAAUACUGGAUAUGACUGCCGGCCGCAUGGUCUGGUGGUGGAAAGAUUUUUUGGUUGGGGAUGGACUCGCGGCCUAUCAGCUUGUUGGUGAGGUAAUGGCUCACCAAGGCGACGACGGGUAGCCGGCCUGAGAGGGUGACCGGCCACACUGGGACUGAGACACGGCCCAGACUCCUACGGGAGGCAGCAGUGGGGAAUAUUGCACAAUGGGCGAAAGCCUGAUGCAGCAACGCCGCGUGAGGGAUGACGGCCUUCGGGUUGUAAACCUCUUUUAGUAGGGAAGAAGCGAAAGUGACGGUACCUGCAGAAAAAGCACCGGCUAACUACGUGCCAGCAGCCGCGGUAAUUC
rnacentral:rRNA from 1 species